CAAUAGCGUAUAUUUAAGUUGUUGCAGUUAAAAAGCUCGUAGUUGGAUUUCGGUUAAGAGCGACCGGUCCGCCGUUUGGUGUGCACUGGUUGGUUUUAACUUCCUGUAGAGGACGUGCUCUGGAUUUAACGACCUGGACUCGGAGUCUACGUGGUUACUUUGAAAAAAUUAGAGUGUUCAAAGCGGGCUUACGCUUGAAUAUUUCAGCAUGGAAUAACACUAUAGGACUCCUGUCCUAUUUCGUUGGUCUCGGGACGGGAGUAAUGAUUAAGAGGAACAGUUGGGGGCAUUCGUAUUUCAUUGUCAGAGGUGAAAUUCUUGGAUUUAUGAAAGACGAACUUCUGCGAAAGCAUUUGCCAAGGAUGUUUUCAUUAA
rnacentral:rRNA from 1 species